UGGGGAAUAUUGGACAAUGGGCGCAAGCCUGAUCCAGCAAUGCCGCGUGUGUGAAGAAGGCCUUCGGGUUGUAAAACACUUUUAUCAGGAGCGAAAUACUACCGAUUAAUACUCGGUGGGGCUGACGGUACCUGAGGAAUAAGCACCGGCUAACUUCGUGCCAGCAGCCGCGGUAAUACGAAGGGUGCAAGCGUUAAUCGGAAUUACUGGGCGUAAAGGGUGCGUAGGCGGUUAUUUAAGUCUGCCGUGAAAUCCCCGGGCUCAACCUGGGAAUGGCGGUGGAUACUGGAUAGCUAGAGUGUGUCAGAGGAUGGUCGAAUUCCCGGUGUAGCGGUGAAAUGCGUAGAGAUCGGGAGGAACAUCAGUGGCGAAGGCGGCCAUCUGGGACAACACUGACGCUGAAGCACGAAAGCGUGGGGAGCAAAC
rnacentral:rRNA from 1 species